rnacentral:rRNA from 1 species
GACGUAGGAUGCAAGCGUUGUCCGGAAUUAUUGGGCGUAAAGAGUUCGUAGGCGGUUACUUAAGUCUGGUGUUAAAGACGGGAGCUCAACUCCCGCAUGGCAUCGGAAACUGGGUAGCUAGAGUGUGGUAGAGGUCUCGGGAAUUCCAGGUGUAGCGGUGAAAUGCGUAGAUAUCUGGAGGAACACCGGUGGCGAAAGCGCGAGACUGGGCCAUAACUGACGCUGAGGAACGAAAGCCAGGGGAGCGAAAGGG